UAGGUUCGGAAUAACUCAGGGAAACUUGUGCUAAUACCGAAUGUGCCCUUCGGGGGAAAGAUUUAUCGCCUUUAGAGCGGCCCGCGUCUGAUUAGCUAGUUGGUGAGGUAAAGGCUCACCAAGGCGACGAUCAGUAGCUGGUCUGAGAGGAUGAUCAGCCACAUUGGGACUGAGACACGGCCCAAACUCCUACGGGAGGCAGCAGUGGGGAAUCUUGCGCAAUGGGCGAAAGCCUGACGCAGCCAUGCCGCGUGAAUGAUGAAGGUCUUAGGAUUGUAAAAUUCUUUCACCGGGGACGAUAAUGACGGUACCCGGAGAAGAAGCCCCGGCUAACUUCGUGCCAGCAGCCGCGGUAAUACGAAGGGGGCUAGCGUUGCUCGGAAUUACUGGGCGUAAAGGGAGCGUAGGCGGACAUUUAAGUCAGGGGUGAAAUCCCGGGGCUCAACCUCGGAAUUGCCUUUGAUACUGGGUGUCUUGAGUAUGAGAGAGGUGUGUGGAACUCCGAGUGUAGAGGUGAAAUUCGUAGAUAUUCGGAAGAACACCAGUGGCGAAGGCGACACACUGGCUCAUUACUGACGCUGAGGCUCGAAAGCGUGGGGAGCAAACAGGAUUAGAUACCCUGGUAGUCCACGCCGUAAACGAUGAUUGCUAGUUGUCGGGAUGCAUGCAUUUCGGUGACGCAGCUAACGCAUUAAGCAAUCCGCCUGGGGAGUACGGUCGCAAGAUUAA
rnacentral:rRNA from 1 species